rnacentral:rRNA from 1 species
AUUGAACGCUGGCGGCAUGCUUUACACAUGCAAGUCGAACGGCAGCACGGGGGCAACCCUGGUGGCGAGUGGCGAACGGGUGAGUAAUAUAUCGGAACGUACCCGGAAAUGGGGGAUAACGUAGCGAAAGUUACGCUAAUACCGCAUAUGCCCUAAGGGGGAAAGCGGGGGACUCGCAAGAACCUCGCGUUUUCGGAGCGGCCGAUAUCGGAUUAGCUAGUAGGUGAGGUAAAGGCUCACCUAGGCGACGAUCCGUAGCUGGUCUGAGAGGACGACCAGCCACACUGGAACUGAGACACGGUCCAGACUCCUACGGGAGGCAGCAGUGGGAAUUUUGGACAAUGGGCGCAAGCCCUGAUCCAGCCAUGCCGCGUGAGUGAAGAAGGCCUU